CCUACGGGUGGCAGCAGUGAGGAAUAUUGGUCCAUGUGCGCAAGCCUGAACCAGCCACGUCGCGUGAGGGAUGACGGUCCUAUGGAUUGUACACCUCUUUUGUCGGGGAGCCAGGCCCGCCAUGUCUGGCGGGAAGGCGAGUACCCGCAGAAAAAGCAUCGGCUAACUCCGUGCCAACAGCCGCGGUUAUACGGGGGAUGCGAGCGUUCUCCGGAUUUAUUGGGUUUUAAGGGUGCGUAGGCGGAAGGUUAAGUCAGCGGUCAAAUGUCGGUGCUCAACACCGGCCUGCCGUUGAAACUGGUCUUCUUGAGUGAGCGAGAAGUAUGCGGAAUGCGUGGUGUAGCGGUGAAAUGCAUAGAUAUCACGCAGAACUCCGAUUGCGAAGGCAGCAUACCGGCGCUCAACUGACGCUGAGGCACGAAAGCGUGGGGAUCGAACAGGAUUAGAUACCCCAGUAGUC
rnacentral:rRNA from 1 species